GAUGAACGCUAGCGGCAGGCUUAAUACAUGCAAGUCGUGGGGCAGCAGGACUGUAGCACUCCAGUUGCUGGCGACCGGCACACGUGUGUGGCACACGUACGCAACUUACCCUGAACUGGGGGAUAGCCCGGGGAAACCCGGAUUAAUACCCCGUAAUAUAAUGGAGUGGCAUCACUUUAUUAUUAAAGCUCCGGCGGUUCGGGAUGGGCGUGCGGCUGCUUAGUUAGUUGGUUGAGGUAACGGCUAACCAAGCCUACGAUCAGUAACUGGUGUGAGGGCAGGACAAGCCAGACGGGAACCGCGGCACGGGCCCCACUCGUACGGGACGGAGCAGUAAGGAACAGUGGGCACGGGAGGCUACUCUGACCCAGCCAUGCCGGGUGUAGGAUGAAGGCCCUCUGGGUUGUAAACUUCUUUUAUAGGAGAAGAAACCUGUGUACUCUUACGCAGUUGACGGUACCCUAGGAAUAAGCACCGGCUAACUCCGUG
rnacentral:rRNA from 1 species